rnacentral:lncRNA from 1 species
GUUCACAUAGGUCAAUUGGGUCUUUAAUUAAAGAAUUGGGCUCGGUUCCUGAUUGGGUUUAGCCCUUUCGGGUCAAUUUGGUCUUCUAAUUAGGUUAUUAGGCUCAAUUUCAAGUCCAAUUAGGUUUAAUUUUGGUCCAGGGUCAAUAUGGCUCAUUUAGGCUUAAGUUAGGGUUAGCCCGAAGUCAAUUUGGUCUCAAUUUAGUUAAACUAGUUUUGAAUUGGGUUUGAUUCAUAUUCAAUUUGGGUCUGCUGAGACUAACUCAGCUUAAUUGGGUUUGGGCUUAAUUUGGUACGAACUUAACCCAAUUUACAGUUUGGGUUCGUCCGGACUUAGUCCAAUCUGAUUGGGCUCAGGUUUAUCAAAUUUGGCUAAACCUAUUUUUCUUUUCUUUUAUUUGGGCCUAACGGGUUCGGACCCGAACUCAGAUCCGACCCGUUAGAUCGGACCCGUUAAGGGUCUCUCUCUUUCUUUCCUUCUUUUCCUUUUCUUUUCUUUUCGUUUUCUUUUUUUUCCUUCUUUUCUUUUUUUUCUUUUCUUCCUUCUUCCUUCCCGAAUCUGCUUCUCCCUUCUUCCAUUUCUUCUCCUCCUCUUCUCUCGCGACGGAAGAAAAGGAGGAGGGCUCGAGAAAGACGGGUAACGGUCGACAGCGUCCGACGGCCAGCCUGCUGCGCCCACGGUCGCGCUCGCGGCCGUGCUUGCGGCUGUGCCCAUGGCCGCGUCGGUGUCCUGCAUCCCACAGCCGACGACCUGCGGCCGAGGCCGGCGCCUGCGGUUGCGGCUGCGGAUCAACCACCGGUAAGUUUUGUUUUGUUUUUUCUUCUCCCGCGGACGGAAGAUUUGGCUCGGGGAGGGCCCAAACCGCAGCCGGUCAGCGGCACCGGCCGCCCCUUGUGGUCGCGGCGGCUUGCGGCCUCCCUUGCCACCGCAGCUUGUGGCCGACGCAGCUCGCGGCCACCGCAGCCGGCGCCUGCCACCCUCUUUCUUUUUUUUGUUUGAUUUAAUUUCUAAACUAGAUCUACAAAGAAUAAUCUAUGAGUAAGGGCGUUACCUGCUUUGAAGAAGAACGUCCGCCUCCUACUCCGGCAACGCGACCCUUUGUUCCGGCGACGCAGACCUAAUACCAGAUCCUGUCAACCGGGGGAAGUUUUGAGGAAGGAAAACAAUGGAGGAGAAACAGAGGAAGGAGGGUGGUGAAAAGCCUCAUCGAUUAGGGCUUCUUGUAGCCUCCGAUUGAUGGGGAAGGCGGACAGUUGUAACCGCCCACCAUCAGGCGAUUACAAAUGCCCGCCCUUUGGUGUGAUGGCCUCUCCCUAUUUCUCUCAGAAACGAAGACGGUUAUUACAUUCUCCCCCCCUAAUAAAAAAUUUCAUCCUCGAAAUUUACAAACAUGCAUUCUCAAAGAGUUGUGGAUGUUUCGCUUGCAUAUCCUCAAGUUUUCAUGUGGCCUCCCUCUCCGAAUGGUUGCUCCACUGAACUUUCACAUAGGGGAUGAUACGUCGCCUCAGGACCUGCUCCUUAUGAUCAAUGAUGCGUAAAGGAUACUCUUCGUAAGUCAGGUCUCUAUCAAUCUGCAGGGGCUCGUGCUGUACUAUAUGGCUGGGAUCGAAAAUGUAUCUCCGUAGAAGAGAAACGUGAAAGGCAUUAUGCACACUGGAUAACUCUGGUGACAAAGCCAGUCUGUAAGCAACCUCCCCUACUCUGGCAAGAAUCUCAAAGAGUCCGAUGUAGCGAGGACUCAGUUUACUAUGUCUUCCAAAUCUUGUAACACCUUUCGAGGGUGAAACUUUUAAGAAUACAAAGUCCCCCUCCUGAAAUUUCACUUCUCUUUAUUUCUUAUCUGCCCAGCUUUUCUAUCUAUCUUGAGCUACCUUGAGCCUUUUUCUGAUUAGUAGAAUCUUCUCCCUAGCACUCUGAACUAAUUCAGGGCCCGACAACUUCUUCUCUCCAACGUCAUCCCAAUGUAGAGGAGACCGACAUUUUCUUCCAUACAAGGCUUCAUAACGUGCCAUCUGGAUGCUAGAAUGAUAACUAUUAUUGUAAGCAAACUCCACUAGUGAUAUAUGAUUAUCCCAGCAACCUACCAGAUCAACGGUGCAAGUCCGCAGCAUAUCCUCCAGGGUCUGGAUCGUCCUCUCUGACUAACUAUCAGUCUGAGGAUGAUAAGCAGUGUUGAGUCUUGAAUUAGUGCCCAUAGCAGUCUGGAAACUUCUCUAAAAUCCAGAUACAAAGCAGGGGUCCCGAUCAGAUACAAUGCUUAUUGGUACCCCAUGUAAGCGCACAAUAUCAUCAAUAUACCUAUGAGCCAGCCUGUCAAGUGAAGUGCCAAUCCUAAAGGGUAAAAAGUGAGCUGACUUCGUGAGGCGAUCAACAAUCACCCACACUGCAUCAUUCUUCCUUACUGUCCUCGGAAGCCCAGUAACAAAAUCCAUAGUAAUGUGCUCCCAUUUUCACUCUAGAAUCUCUAGUGGUUCUAGCAAACCAGCCGGCCUCUAAUGCUCAGCCUUUACCUGCUGACAUACCAAGCACCGAGCUACAAAUUCUGCUAUCUCUCUCUUCAUGUCGUUCCACCAGAAAUAUUUUCGUAAAUCUCUAUACAUUUUAGUGCUGUCGGGAUGAAUAGAGAAACGAGACUGAUGAGCUUCCUCCAGAAUCUCUCUUUUUAUAUCAGCAUGCUUGGGCACACAUAAUCUACUGCCAAAAUGCAGGGUACCAUCCGGGUGGAUUUGAAGUUCAGGUCGUAACCCUCUAUCCACAUCAUUUCUAAGCUGACACAAAUGUGCAUAUGUCUGUUGAGCAGCCUUUAUUCUUUCUAUCUAGGUAGGUUGCACCAACAAACUAGCCAUCAUACUCCCAGCACCCUUGGUAAUCACCUCGAUCUGCAUCAUAUCAAAAUCUUUCAAAAUCUGCUUCUUAGUGGUAAGCAAAGAUAUGGAGCCCACUGUUGACUUCCUACUGAGAGCAUCUGCCACAACAUUAGCCUUUUUCGAAUGAUAUUUGAUGCUUAGAUCAUAAUCUUUUAGCAGCUCAAGCCAUCUUCUUUGCCCAUGUUUAAUUCUUUCUGAGUAAAUAUAUACUUUAGGCUUUUGUGAUCAGUAAAAACUUCACAAGGCUCACCAUACAGAUAAUGUCGUCAAAUCUUCAGAGCAAAGACUACUGCUGCCAACUCCAAAUCAUGUGUCGGAUAGUUCUGCUCAUAUGGCUUCAGCUGUCUAGAGGCAUAGGCUACUACCUUAUCAUUCUGCAUUAGUACACAGCCUAACCCUUUCUUGGAGGCAUCACUAUAGAUGGUGAAACCCCCAGUACUGGUUGGCAAAGUAAGAAUAGGAGCAGAUACCAGCCUUUACUUUAGCUCUUAAAAACUUUGAUCACAAUUUUCACUCCAUACAAACUUUGCUCGUUUCUGGGUCAAACGAGUUAAAAGAGUAGCAAUCCGAGAGAAUCCUUCCAGAAAUCUUCUAUAAUAACUAGCCAAACCCAAGAAGCUUCUGAUUUCAGUGACAUUAGUAGGACGAGGCCAAUCCACCACUGCUUUUAUUUUUUUGGGUCCAUUGACACCCCUUCUUUAGAGAUCACAUGACCAAGAAAUGCAAUACUAUUCAGCCAGAAAUAACAUUUGCUCAGUUUGGCAUAUAACCUAUUCUCCUGAAAAAUCUGUAAUACCACUCUCAAGUGAUCUUCAUGUUCUUUUUUGCUCUUAGAAUAGAUCAAUAUAUCAUCAAUGAAAAUAAUAACAAACUAAUCCAAAUACUGCUUAAAGAUCCUGUUUGUCAGAUCCAUAAAAGCAGCUGGUACAUUGGUUAGUCCAAAUGGCAUAAAUAAAAAUUCAUAGUGCCCAUACCUGGUUCGAAAUGCAGUCUUCGGCACAUCAUCAGCUAAGAUUUUCAAUUGAUGAUACCCAGACCGUAGAUCUAUCUUGGAGAAGAUUUGGGCACCUUGUAGUUGAUCAAAUAAAUCAUCAAUCCGGGGCAGAGGGUAUUUGUUCUUCACUGUCACCUUGUUCAACUCCUGGUAAUCAAUAUACAGCCGCGUACUUCCAUCAUUCUUCUUGACAAAUAGUACAGGAGCUCCCCACGGUGAAACACUCGGGCGAAUGAAUUUCUUCUCUAGGAGUUUCUGUAGCUGGGCCUUCAACUCUCUCAGCUCUGCCGGGGCCAUCCGAUAAGGUGCCUUCGAGAUAGGUCCAACACUCGGUAAGAAAUCGAUUCGAAAAUCAAUCUUUCGAUCAGGAGGUAAUCCAGGUAGAUCAUCAGGGAAUACUUCUGGAUACUCUCUCACAAUAGGGAUAUCCUCUAGUCUUGUUUCUUUUGUAGUGUCUACCACACAAGCUAGGUAGGCCUGACACCCCCUUUCUAAGGGCCUUCCUUGCACUCAUUGCAGAGAUAAUGUGCAAAGAGGGAUUCAUAGUGGGUGAAUCACCCUGAUAGAAAAUUUCUCAUUCACCAGGUAUCUGAAACACUACCCUCUUGCUAAAGCAAUCAAUGUGAGCAUGAUAUUCAGACAACCAAUUCAUACCAAGGAUGACCUCAAAAUCAUACAUGUCUAACAGUACUAAGUCAGCCAAUAAUUUUCUGUCCUCUAUCUGAACUAUGCAAUUUUGAUGAACAGAAUCAACCACUAUUGUCUUCUUAAGAGGGGUAGAAACAAGUAAAGGCUCAUCUAACUUAUCAGGCAUAAGAUGCAAGGAUGCAGAGAACUUAGAGGAUAUAAAGGAAUGUGUAGCGCCAGAAUCAAAUAGUACAGAAGCAUCAACAGAGUUGAUGGGAAUCAUACCUACCACAACUCUAUCACUGGCACUAGCAUCCUGCCAUGUCAAUGCGAACACCCGUGCAGCUCCUCUCUACAUCUGAUCAGCUGGUCUAGAAGGUCCAGAUUCAACCUUCUUUUUGUUUGGGCAAUCUCUGGCUAUGUGUCCUGGCUGCCCACAUAUAAACAAGCUCCCAUCAUCUUCAAGCAAGGACCAGUAUGCAUUUUGCCACAGUAAUAACAAACCUUAAAUUUCUUCUUCUUGCUAGGAGAGCCUUCAAAGUUCCUUGGUCGGUUCCUCAGAUUCCUUGACAUCUCGGGCCUUUUCUGUUCACCUCUUUCCUUCUCUGAUUUCUUUAGAUCUGUUUCUACCUUCAAUGCUCUCUCUAGGGCCUUUCCGUAGCUGGUGAGAAUCAGAACUGACAAUCGGGAUCGAAUUUCGUCCCUCAAGCCCUACUCAAAUCUGUUAGCCUUGCUUCUCUCAACCUCUAUCAUUUAAGGAUAGAACCGACCCAGCUUAGUAAAUUUGUUGGCAUAUUCUAGUACAGUCAUAUCAUCUGUCUGCCUCAGAGACAAAAAUUCAUUUUAUUUAGAUAUUCUGACUGACUUAGGAAAAUACUGCUCAUAAAACAUCUUCUUGAAUUCCUCUCAUGUCGGUAGCUCGUCCACACCCACGAGUGCAACUUCAAUGGCCAUCCACCAGAACUCUGCAUUUUCCUUCAGCAUAGGGAUAACCAAUCUGACCUUCACUUCUUCGGGAUAUUGCAAGGCUUUGAAUAUCUUCUCUACCUCCCGAAUCCAAGUCUCAGCAACUAGAGGGUCAGCUCCACCAUCAAACAUAGGUGGGUUGAGCCUAUUGAAUCGCUCAUAGUAGGACUCAAUGGACUGUGUAGGUCAGACAGUGGUCUACACCUGCUGCUGCAUCUGCUGCUACACCUACAUCUGUUGCUGCAUCUGCUGCUGUAUCUGAAGGAGCUGAGUCAUCACUUGACUUGCUCCUGCAAAAUCGGCCUGGGUGGCAGCUGGGUUAGGAGUUUGCUCAACCGGCUGGCUGGCAACUCCUCUUCCUCUUGCUCCUCUCCUCCGAGCUGCAAUAUUUGCCAUGACUUGCUCCUCUCUGUUCCUCAUUUUCACCUAUCAAAAUAUUAGCAUAAUUCAAUUAACUAAUUUUUUUAUUUUGAAUAUGCCGAAUUUAAUUGAACGAGACUUAACUACCCAUUUUCCUUACUAAAACUUUUUUUUUGUUUUACUCUUUAUUAAACCUAUUGCUAUGAUACCAUUAAAUGUCACGCCCCAAAUUCGGUCAUGACACAAUCGUGCUAUUGCAAUCUUAUGCACAAAAUAACACGAAGCCACUUAAAAUUUCAUAAUAAGAAUAAAUAGUUUCAUUUACUAAUGUCAUAACAUUAUUCAUGAAGUUGGAACAGUACAGAGCUUCUAAAAUUUAAUUAUUACAUAAUAUUUUCAAUUACGCUAACCCUGAAUAACACCAAGUUCCCUACUCCUAGUAGUCUUAUUCAUCUGUAGAAAAAAAAUAGAUGAAAAGAUAUGAGCUACACAGCUUAGUAAGUAACCAAGUACUAUCUUAUUGGAUCAAGUACAAUUAUGCCAAUGCAGUAAUUAAAAAGCCAUCAGUUGUAGCAAAAUAAAACAUUUUAUAGAUGAUAUACACAAAUCAGGUUAUAAAGCAAUGCAUGUUCCAUCCAUGAAAGUUCACAAUCAUGAUAAUGCAAGUCAUAUUGAAAUAUUGCCAUUUAUCCAUACUUUAUAAAACAUACUCUCAGACGAAUAUGCUGCUAUGGUCACUAUAAUCCCGUGAUAGGGCCUGUUAAUCUUAGUCGAUUAAUUUUGUUAUUCGUUACCAACUUUAACCCGUUAGCAGAAGGCCUGUUAUUCUUUGGAUGCUAGCUCUAGGGUGUUGACUGGCCUCUAUUUCUAGAGGCGGGCAUAGCUAUCUGAGAGUUCUUAAAUCAUAUUCUUUUUCUUUCAUAAAUCAUAAUCAUCAUAAAUAGGUUGGAAAAUGAUAAAUGGCAUCAUAUAAUUUAAAAAUGCAUAAACAUGCCUCAAUUUUAUUUUUCAUGCAGUCUAUCAUAAUCAUAAUUCAUAAUUCGUACACCAUCAAAUAUUCAUGAAGGAUGCUCUUUAAUCAAAUUCAUGAAUCACAUGCAAUCAUAUACUUGAUCCUACUUUUAAGAAAAUAUAUCAUAACAAAUAUAUUUUCAUAAUUAUAAAUAAAUAGUGAUUUGAAAACUAUAAGAUCAGUGCCAAGGUUACUUACUGAAAUUUGCUUUUCAAUUUCUUACGACCGGANNNNNNNNNNNNNNNNNNNNUACACCAUCAAAUAUUCAUGAAGGAUGCUCUUUAAUCAAAUUCAUGAAUCACAUGCAAUCAUAUACUUGAUCCUACUUUUAAGAAAAUAUAUCAUAACAAAUAUAUUUUCAUAAUUAUAAAUAAAUAGUGAUUUGAAAACUAUAAGAUCAGUGCCAAGGUUACUUACUGAAAUUUGCUUUUCAAUUUCUUACGACCGGAUGACGAAUCCUUGAUCAUCUAAAUUAAUCACACAGGGGUCACAUUAUUCCCUAUUUAUUUUAUAAUUUUCUAAUUUAUCAUAACAUAAAUUUACUUGCUUAGAUCUCCAGUCCAAUUUACCUAAUUUAGAGCCCUUGAGCUUGAUUUAGAACUAGAUUGGGUUCACGUAGGUCAAUUGGAUCUUUAAUUAAAGAAUUGAACUUGGUUCCUGAUUAGGUCUAGCCCUUUCGGGUCAAUUUGGUCUUCUGAUUAGGUUAUUAGGCUCAAUUUCAAGUCCAAUUAGGUUUAAUUUUGGUCCAAGGUCAAUGUGGCUCAUUUAGGCUUGAGUCAGGAUCAGCCCGAAGUCAAUUUGGUCUCAAUUUAGUUAAACUGGUUUUGAAUUGGGCUUGAUUCAUAUUCAAUUUGGGUCUGCUGAGACUAAUUCAGCUUAAUUGG